GCAUAUCAAUAAGCGGAGGAAAAGAAACUAACAAGGAUUCCCCUAGUAACGGCGAGUGAAGAGGGAAGAGCCCAAGAUUGAAAGCUGGCGUCUUUGGCGUCCGCAUUGUAAUCUCAAGAAGUGUUUUCCGCUUCGGACCAUGCCUAAGUCCCUUGGAAAAGGGCAUCAUAGAGGGUGAUAAUCCCGUACAUGGCAUGGAGCGCCCGAAGCUUUGUGAUACACUUUCUAAGAGUCGAGUUGUUUGGGAAUGCAGCUCAAAAUGGGUGGUAAAUGCCAUCUAAGGCUAAAUAUUGGGGAGAGACCGAUAGCGAACAAGUACAGUGAUGGAAAGAUGAAAAGAACUUUGAAAAGAGAGUUAAACAGUACGUGAAAUUGCCAAAAGGGAAGGGUAGGAGGUCAGAGAUGCGGUCUGGGAUUCAGCCUUGCUUUUGCUGGGUGUUUUUCUCAGAUUGCAGGCCAACGUCGGUUUUGGGCGCUGGAGAAGGGUGGAAGGAAUGUGGCACCUCUCGGGGUGUGUUAUAGCCUUCUACUGGAUACAGUGACCGAGACCGAGGACAGCAGCGUACUCGCAAGAGCGGGCCUUCGGGCACCUUUACGCUUAGGGCGUUGGCAUAAUGGCCCUCUACCACCCGUCUUGAAACACGGACCAAGGAGUCUAACAUGUAUGCGAGUCUUUGGGUGGCAAACCCAUAGGCGCAAUGAAAGUGAAUUCAGGUGGGAUCCGCAAGGUGCACCAUCGACCGAUCCUCACGUCUUUUUAAGUCGUGGAUUUGAGUAAGAGCAUACCUGUUGGGACCCGAAAGAUGGUGAACUAUGCCUGAAUAGGGUGAAGCCAGAGGAAACUCUGGUGGAGGCUCGUAGCGGUUCUGACGUGCAAAUCGAUCGUCAAAUUUGGGUAUAGGGGCGAAAGACUAAUCGAACCAUCUAGUAGCUGGUUCUGCG
rnacentral:rRNA from 1 species